rnacentral:miRNA from 1 species
AGGCGGAGACUCGGGCAAUUGC